CGGGCCGUAGCGCAGUUCGGUAGCGCACCUGCCUUGGGCGCAGGGGGUCUCCGGUUCAAAUCCGGACGGCCCGA
rnacentral:tRNA from 3 species